ensembl:lncRNA
GUCCUUUAUGACAUUGUAAGUGCUUGGGCUUUUAUUUUUUUUAAUUAAGGAGAAUGAAAAAAAAAAAAAAGUCCUGCUCACAUCUGGAACAGACCCACUCCCCGUGCAGAGUGUGGCCAUGCACUUAAGCUCAGUUGUGGCAGAUUGGGAAGGGGACAGGAGGCAGAAAGGGAGAUAGGACAGGGAGUAGAAAACAGAGAAACAGACUGCACAGGGAGCAUAGGGCAGAAAGCAGAGCAGACAGGGGGCUUGGAGCAAGGAACAGAAAGCAGAAGAGCAGAGUAGACAGGGGCACAGGGCAGGGAGCAAAAAACAAAGCAGCAGACCAGGCAGAUGAACAGUAUUGGAGUGGUACUUGAAGAGGGUGUGGGGCUAAUUUGUGACACCUGCCAAGAAAGCUGGCCCCUAUCAUCCCACCCAGCUCAGCAUCGCAGGCACAGUUCACAUGGAAAGGAUCCUCCUGGCAGCUGCCCUGCGGCUUCACCGGCAACGCGCUCAGAGGAAUCGAUUGCACUAGUUAAGGAACAGAGCUGCAGGAGUGCAAUAUUUGUGUUCUCCAUUAUCGCAAUGUACAGUCACGGGGAAGGAAUCGCCCUGGGGAGGUAACACGGCCCUGCCCUGAGAAGUCCUUUCCCAGGGGAGCCUGUGCACGCCGCAGUGCUACAGCCCAGCCCUUCAGAGCCCUAAGCCACAAAGCCUGCAUUCGAUCUGGACCUUGCCUUUGCUGCUGGGCGGGAUAUUGAAGUUCCUCCCUCUUUUCCCCACUCCCAUUACCUGGUCUCCGUGGCCCUGCAUCGACAGCCUGCUGGAAUGAAACAUUCAUGAUGCAAUCCUGAGGCAAGGCAGGCGAGACUUCAAUGCCUUUGCCAGCCAAACACCUGUGCUGAGUGAACCCUGCUUGUUACCUAAUAAGCCUUAUCAGAAUAGCUAAUAGCAGGGCAAGCCACUUGGGUGGCCUCCUUCCAAACAGAGCAGAUCUAGAAGGAAAUAAGUCUUUCCAUGAGGCUCCCACCUUUUGCCAUGAUUUGCUCUGGUCGAUAGGGUCUCUCCACCUUCCUAAACCAUAUUUACCUGCCUGAUGCAGGAUGCUGGUUAAACUAUAUUAUGGAACUGAAAACAGCCAAUGUGAAAAGCCAGGCUUAGUGGACAUGAAGAGAAUGAGCCUGAAGUGACCCAAAGCCUUUAUUAUAUUUUCCGAGCUCUGCCAGUAUGCUCAAGACUCAGAAUGGUUUUCCCUAAGCAAAGACAACAUCCUGUAGUCAGAAAGUACCAUGAAGCCCCGAGGCAUGAAACCAAUCCUGCUCCUAUUACCAAAACCCCAUCAGUAUCCAUAUUCCCAGCAAAGGCUGUGCCCCGAGACAUACAAGCUGCAUUAUCUCCUCCAAUGAAGUUGCCAGACGCUGGGGAAAAGGAAGGGGGGAAAAAAAAAGGAAAGUUUUUUUUGUUAACCACAGACAGCGACUCAAAAAAACAUAUGCGUCUCACAUUGCACAAGUAGCGCUGUGGCAUUUUUGGCAGUCUUGCUUCAGCAAACAGUUUUGAUCCCUUUUAAAACUGAAAUUAGCUUCUGUUUAAAUGCAGGUAAUUUACCUUUUUUUUUUUUUGG